rnacentral:rRNA from 1 species
AUUGAACGCUGGCGGCAUGCCUUACACAUGCAAGUCGAACGGCAGCGCGGGGGCAACCCUGGCGGCGAGUGGCGAACGGGUGAGUAAUAUAUCGGAACGUACCCAAGAGUGGGGAUAACGUAGCGAAAGUUACGCUAAUACCGCAUACGAUCUAAGGAUGAAAGCAGGGGACCGCAAGGCCUUGCGCUCCUGGAGCGGCCGAUAUCUGAUUAGCUAGUUGGUGGGGUAAAGGCCUACCAAGGCAUCGAUCAGUAGCUGGUCUGAGAGGACGACCAGCCACACUGGGACUGAGACACGGCCCAGACUCCUACGGGAGGCAGCAGUGGGGAAUAUUGCGCAAUGGGCGAAAGCCUGACGCAGCGACGCCGCGUGGGUGAUGAAGGCC